UGGGGAAUUUUGGACAAUGGGCGAAAGCCUGAUCCAGCAAUGCCGCGUGUGUGAAGAAGGCCUUCGGGUUGUAAAGCACUUUUGUCCGGAAAGAAAAUCCUUGGCUCUAAUACAGUCGGGGGAUGACGGUACCGGAAGAAUAAGCACCGGCUAACUACGUGCCAGCAGCCGCGGUAAUACGUAGGGUGCAAGCGUUAAUCGGAAUUACUGGGCGUAAAGCGGCGCAGGCGGUUUGCUAAGACCGAUGUGAAAUCCCCGGGCUCAACCUGGGAACUGCAUUGGUGACUGGCAGGCUAGAGUAUGGCAGAGGGGGGUAGAAUUCCACGUGUAGCAGUGAAAUGCGUAGAGAUGUGGAGAAUACCGAUGGCGAAGGCAGCCCCCUGGGCCAAAUACUGACGCUCAUGCACGAAAAGCGUGGGGAGCAAAACAGGAUUAGAUACCCUGGUAGUCCACGCCCUAAAACGAUGUCAACUAGUUGUUGGGGAUUCAUUUCCUUAGUAACGUAGCUAACGCGUGAAGUUGACC
rnacentral:rRNA from 1 species